GGGGCUUACAGUUGCUAUAGGCCUCAGGUCUACCAAGCUGUUGUCAGUUCUCUUAGAAGUGCAGCUGAGUGGGGCUGGCACUUGGCACUCAAUUAUUUCAGACUUUGGAAGGUGGGGCUGAUCCUUUUUAUGGCUAUUUGUGAAGCACAGGUCUUCUGCCACUGAUAAGCCUCACCUCCCACAGGACCACACACACUGUCAAUACAGUCCUGGUCUGUGCACACUUCCUAACCCCCUGGAGCGUAGCCUGAUGCCCCACUGCAGAGGCCCCCAUCUCUCCACCAAUGCUCCCCACAGUUCACCUGGUCCUCACACAGGCCCUGCCCCACAGAGGUGGACACGUUCACCUGCCUGUAGAGGAUCAAGGCACCCAGUCAAUGCAGGCCAACAAGUAGCCUGAGGGCUUACUGUUGGGUGGGGCCGGUCCCUAGGGCAGACUGCCUGCCCUGGCUGAACUAGAUUAAAUCUGCACUCUAGUGGGUGUGGCAGACCCCUGGGCUCAUAGGCCAGGGGAAGAACUUCAAUGGUGUCUGCCUGUCUCUGUCAGCACAACUGGACUAGGUGACAACAGUGGUCACCACCAAUGUCUCAGUCUCCAGAGAGGUCUCUCCUCUCACUGAGAUGCACCCAGAGCCUACCAGGAUUCUUGCCCUUGGAACUCAGCCACCAUGUCAUGAGGAAUACCAGGCCACUUGGAGAAGUCAUGUGUAAAUGUUCCAGCUGAUAGCCAACAUCAAUAGCUAAAGUUCUAGCCAACAUCCUGCAUCAACUGCAAGACAUGUGAGUAAAUAAGCAUUCAGAUGAUUCCAGCUCCCAGCCAUUGAGUCACCCUUGGCCUUUAAAUUAUCCAGUUAUAGUGGAGCAGAGAAUAAUUAUGCCCUACGUGCCUUGUUGAAAAUGUGUGAGCAUAACAAAUGUUGUGACAUGCUACAAAAUUUGGAGGUGAUUUUGCUACAUGGCUGUAGAUAACCAGAAAAAUAAAUGUCUAAAAUUGGACUUUAUUGGACUGGCAGUCAAUUAAUUAUUCCAUAGUUCAUAAUGUGUUGUCUAUUUUGGUGAUUUAACAAAUAGAGGCAUAAAGCUAUCAACUCUAACAUUUUCAAACUCACAAUGCAGAUUUUUUCAUUAUUUAAUGAACAAUUAUAAUAUACCUGUAAUAUAGACUAAUCAAGAUGCAUUCAGAACAAUGGGACAGAUGACCAGCUCCAUAUAAGAUUAUCAGGGAG
rnacentral:lncRNA from 1 species